AAGUGGGUCUUCUGACAGGAGGGUGGUUGCUGAUCCUGGAUGAGCCUCCAAAUGAAAGUCCCCAGAGGAGGGAGACUCUCACUCAAGUCUGCAGGUGACACAACCCACAAGAACUCACAAAAAA
rnacentral:pre_miRNA from 14 species